rnacentral:other from 1 species
UGACCCCUGCAGUGUUUGUGUGAUAGCGAUAAGUUGAAGGAACCUAUACCCGUUAUGAGGGAGAUCAGGCCUUGCCGGAUCGGGGACGCCUGCUCGUCAGGACCCCUGGACGCAAGCAACGAUCACCCACCUGAAUAUAAUGGGUCCCUUCACGAGCUUUCACACGGCACAGGUGGAGGAAAG